AUUGAACGCUGGCGGCAGGCUUAACACAUGCAAGUCGAGCGGGGUGAUGGUGCUUGCACUAUCACUUAGCGGCGGACGGGUGAGUAAUGCUUAGGAAUCUGCCUAUUAGUGGGGGACAACAUCUCGAAAGGGAUGCUAAUACCGCAUACGUCCUACGGGAGAAAGCAGGGGAUCACUUGUGACCUUGCGCUAAUAGAUGAGCCUAAGUCGGAUUAGCUAGUUGGUGGGGUAAAGGCCUACCAAGGCGACGAUCUGUAGCGGGUCUGAGAGGAUGAGCCGCCAAACUGGGACUGAGACACGGCCCAGACUACUACGGGAGGCAGCAGUGGGGAAUAUUGGACAAUGGGGGGAACCCUGAUCCAGCCAUGCCGCGUGUGUGAAGAAGGCCUUAUGGUUGUAAAGCACUUUAAGCGAGGAGGAGGCUCUUUUGGUUAAUACCCAAGAUGAGUGGACGUUACUCGCAGAAUAAGCACCGGCUAACUCUGUGCCAGCCGCCGCCGUAA
rnacentral:rRNA from 1 species